rnacentral:rRNA from 1 species
ACUCAAAGGAAUUGACGGGGACCCGCACAAGCGGUGGAGCAUGUGGUUUAAUUCGAGGCAACGCGAAGAACCUUACCAGGCCUUGACAUGGGUAGUUUGGGAUAGAGAGAUUUAUCCCUUCAGUUUGGCUGGCUACCACACAGGUGCUGCAUGGCUGUCGUCAGCUCGUGUCGUGAGAUGUUGGGUUAAGUCCCGCAACGAGCGCAACCCUCGUCCUUAGUUGCCAACAGGUAAUGCUGGGAACUCUAAGGAAACUGCCGGUGAUAAGCCGGAGGAAGGUGGGGAUGACGUCAAGUCUUCAUGGCCCUUACGGCCUGGGCUACACACGUGCUACAAUGGCGGUGACAGUGGGAUGCUACCCUGCAAGGGGAUGCUAAUCUCAAAAAACCGUCUCAGUUCGGAUUGCACUCUGCAACUCGAGUGCAUGAAGCUGGAAUCGCUAGUAAUCGUGGAUCAGCAUGCCACGGUGAAUACGUUCCCGGGUCUUGCACACACCGCCCGU